GUCCUUGGGCGAGCCUGAUCAGCCAUGCCGCGUGUGUGAAGAAGGUCUUCGGAUUGUAAAGCACUUUAAGUUGGGAGGAAGGGCAUUAACCUAAUACGUUAGUGUUUUGACGUUACCGACAGAAUAAGCACCGGCUAACUCUGUGCCAGCAGCCGCGGUAAU
rnacentral:rRNA from 1 species